rnacentral:Y_RNA from 1 species
GGCUGGUCCAAAGGUAGUGAGUUAUAUCAACUGAUUGUUCACAGUCAGUUACAGAUUGAACUCCUUAUUCUACUCUUCCCCUCCUUCUCACUACUGACACUUGACUAGUCUGAG